GAGUAACACGUGGGCAAUCUGCCCUGCACUCUGGGACAAGCCCUGGAAACGGGGUCUAAUACCGGAUAUGACCACCGGCCGCAUGGUCUGGUGGUGGAAAGCUCCGGCGGUGCAGGAUGAGCCCGCGGCCUAUCAGCUUGUUGGUGGGGUGAUGGCCUACCAAGGCGACGACGGGUAGCCGGCCUGAGAGGGCGACCGGCCACACUGGGACUGAGACACGGCCCAGACUCCUACGGGAGGCAGCAGUGGGGAAUAUUGCACAAUGGGCGCAAGCCUGAUGCAGCGACGCCGCGUGAGGGAUGACGGCCUUCGGGUUGUAAACCUCUUUCAGCAGGGAAGAAGCGCGAGUGACGGUACCUGCAGAAGAAGCACCGGCUAACUACGUGCCAGCAGCCGCGGUAAUACGUAGGGUGCGAGCGUUGUCCGGAAUUAUUGGGCGUAAAGAGCUCGUAGGCGGCCUGUCGCGUCGGAUGUGAAAGCCCGGGGCUUAACCCCGGGUCUGCAUUCGAUACGGGCAGGCUAGAGUUCGGCAGGGGAGAUUGGAAUUCCUGGUGUAGCGGUGAAAUGCGCAGAUAUCAGGAGGAACACCGGUGGCGAAGGCGGAUCUCUGGGCCGAUACUGACGCUGAGGAGCGAAAGCGUGGGGAGCGAACAGGAUUAGAUACCCUGGUAGUCCACGCCGUAAACGUUGGGCACUAGGUGUGGGCGGCAUUCCACGUCGUCCGUGCCGCAGCUAACGCAUU
rnacentral:rRNA from 1 species